ACAUACCGACCGACCCUAUACGAUGUGUCCGCCCGCCGUAAUUUGCUCUCACAGCUCUCUUUCCCGCCGGGUACGCCGCACCCAAGUCACUUCACCAUUCUUUCUCGCGCCGUUCUUCGACGUCCGCAUAUCGUCCGCGAUCCACCUCCGGACACGCGUGCACACGCGCAACCGUCAAUGCGAGCACCCCCAUAAGGAGUCGUCGUCGCCACCGCUGCUGCUACCACUAUCUCUCCUCCACCACCACUAUCAACGCAGUCGCCACCGUCGGAGGGAGAAAACGUUGACUUCUCCCGAACUAAUUCGAAAAUUAUAAUCUCCAAAGAGAGGUUCCACAAUGAACCGCUCGCUCCGCAGUACAUUCACCAACUGAACUGAGCCAAUAUUAUGUGCGCGCGGUACUCGUACGGAUUUCGUAUAUCCUGCAUCCCCCACCUACUUACAUCGUCAUCUCAUCGUCUCGUCGCCUCCCAACACCCACCCUGAAUCACUCGACUUUCUCGACUCGAUCCUGCCGUGCGCAAUGCCGCAGAAUUCGUUGCCUUCAACAGCAGAGACUGGAGAUUCAAUGGACUCGUUCGACCAAUACAACAGAGACUAGAAGUUACGCCGUUUGACAACUCACGUCACAAUCUUCGCGACAAACAAUGCCAUAUCUUCGUCAUUCUUAAAUAUUUCAUAAGAAAAAAAAACGUUGUGAUAGUUAAAAGUAACAAUAAAUAAUAUCUAAAGUUUGAAAAAUGUAA